AGAGUUUGAUCAUGGCUCAGAACGAACGCUGGCGGCAGGCCUAACGCAUGCAAGUCGAGCGCGCCCUUCGGGGUGAGCGGCGGACGGGUGAGUAACGCGUGGGAACGUACCCUUUACUACGGAAUAACUCAGGGAAACUUGUGCUAAUACCGUAUGUGCCCUUCGGGGGAAAGAUUUAUCGGUAAAGGAUCGGCCCGCGUUGGAUUAGCUAGUUGGUGGGGUAAAGGCCUACCAAGGCGACGAUCCAUAGCUGGUUUGAGAGGAUGAUCAGCCACACUGGGACUGAGACACGGCCCAGACUCCUACGGGAGGCAGCAGUGAGGAAUAUUGGUCAAUGGGCGCAAGCCUGAACCAGCCAUGCCGCGUGCAGGAAGAAGCAUCUAUGGUGUGUAAACUGCUUUUAUACAGGAAGAAACCUCCCUACGUGUAGGGACUUGACGGUACUGUAGGAAUAAGGAUCGGCUAACUCUGUGCCAGCAGCCGCGGUAAUA
rnacentral:rRNA from 1 species